rnacentral:rRNA from 1 species
UACGUAGGGGCCGAGCGUUGUCCGGAGUUAUUGGGCGUAAAGCGCGCGCAGGCGGCUUCGCGCGCCCGACGUGAAAGCCCCCGGCUUAACCGGGGAGAGUCGUUGGGGACGGCGGAGCUUGAGGGCGGGAGAGGUCGGUGGAAUUCCCGGUGUAGUGGUGAAAUGCGUAGAGAUCGGGAGGAACACCUGUGGCGAAGGCGGGUCUCUGGACAGUUCCUGACACUGAGGCACGAAGGCCAGGGGAGCAAACGGG